AACCCAUGGUGAAUGCAUCUUCUCAAUAAAUCUUUAUACCUCUCCCAUGCAUCAUAUAGAGUAUCUAAAUCCAUUUCCAUGAAGGAAGAGAUAUCUUUCUUUAGCUU
rfam:Gossypium hirsutum cultivar TM-1 chromosome 23, whole genome shotgun sequence